GCUUGCUUUGGCAGCAUAUACUAAAAUUGGAACAAAACAGAGAAGAUUAGCAUGGACCCUGCACAAGGAUAACACAAAUUUGUGAAGCGUUCCAUAUUUUA
ensembl:snRNA U6 U6 spliceosomal RNA